rfam:Homo sapiens chromosome 3, GRCh38 reference primary assembly.
GCCGGGCAUGGUGGCGCAUGCCUGUAAUCCCAGCUACUCGGGAGGCUGAGGCAGGAGAAUCGCUUGAACCUAGGAGGCAGAGGUUGCAGUGAGCUGAGAUUGUGCCACUGCACUCUAGCCUGGGUCCUGGGUGACAGAGCGAGACUCUGUCUUAA